rnacentral:lncRNA from 1 species
UUUAUGUAGUGGUGGAGGGAGGAAGCAUUCUCUCUGAGAAUCAUCUUGUCAGAACCAUCUGGCUGGGGGCGGUGCACAAGAACCAUCUGCUGGGAGCCUCAUUUCCAUCCUGUUCCUUAAAUGCAAACUUUUGACGUUAUCCAUAAAUGAAGUCACACACACAAUCACUGCAAUGUGGGUACACGAAAUGUGUUAUUUUGACAAGAGUUAACAUUUAACAUACUCAAAUUCAUUUAUUUUGCAAUUGACUUAUGGUAUUUCUCCAUUUUCGAAUAUACUAGAAGUCAAAAACAGAAAAAAAAAUGAGCCUCAUGUUUUUCAACCUUCAACCUUCAAGGAUCUAGAGGGGAGGAAAUGAAAACAUCUGCCUUCAUAAAGGUGCUGCUCUUUCCUUCCAGGAUUCCCCAGGGCAUCCUUGGAGUGCCCCCAGUUUGAAUUGGAGAUAAAAGGUAUGGUCUUGUUGAAAUUGCCCCCAAAUUGAGCUGCACCUUCCAAUUGAGGCAGAAAGAAUCGCCUUUUGAUACGUUCCACAAUUGGAAUGCAAAUUCUCUCCCAUCUCCUAGACACCUGGGCCUGCCCCCAUUUUUCUUGACUGUAAUCUGUUUAGCUUGUGCAUAAAAUGGCAAAAACAAAGAGUCUUUCUGUAAAAGAAAAAGAAGAGGAAAGAAAGUAGAUUCUGUGUCCUCUUCCUUAGUCCUUGCCAAAUCUUUGCUCCCAGGCCUCGGCAGGUGGCAGUGUACAUGAGUCAUGCAGUCUAUCUUUCUGUUUUGUUUGUUAUUAACCACUGAAAUGAUGGCACCAUUCCUGGAGUUAGGCCUUCAACCAAAGAGCUGGGCCAUCCGUGGCAAUGCCUCCCAGGCUUGGGAGCUGGGAAAAGGCCCCAGGAGCUAGGGCAUCCUGAUUGUUCUUUCAAAGAAAUCCCUCUUGUUCUUAGUCAACAUGCUGGAUACCAGCUAAAAAAUGCAAAAUGAUCUUCAGGCAGGGAUGGCACAGGACCCUUGCUGAGCUGUGAAGCCUGGCUGUGAGGAUUCCUGCAUGGAAACAUCAACAUGUUGCCAGAUUGGUAUACGACUCAACACCACACUGACAUGCUGCUCCCAAACAGUGCCUUUGAAUCAAGACCCAGUCAUCGUAUUCGAAGAAAAAGGAAAUAUCCCUGACCAUGUUGGGACUUAACACUGCUUCACAGAGUCCAUGGAGUUCCUGGUGACUAAUGCCAUCCACAAGAUCUGAAGGUGUUGUGUAACCUAGACCUGGCCCUUCUCUCAGUGCAUCCCCCUCUCCAGAGUGACCAACUCAGAGAGGUCAUGUGCUUAAGGGUGAGAACCACUACAGGACAAAAAUGAGCUCCUUUUUUCCAGUCUCAGCCCAGGAGGGAUCUUCACAGAGAAAGCAAGCCCAGCCCAUCCCCACAGCUGGCUCCCUGGUGCCCAUUCUGAAAGGCUGGACCCAUCCUGACCUGUCCCUGCCCCAAGGACUGCCUGGUGAGGGAUGGCUUACCAACACUGUGACUCAGUCCUUCCAACAUGCCCAACAGGUCAAUUCUGGGAUAUUCCUUACAGGAAUUAAUGAGAGCACAUUGCCGGUAAUGUUGGCAUUAGUAGAUUACAUUUAAAUUUAAAAAUUCCUUUUAUGGGGUUUAAGAAUAGAGACAAGACACCCAUGCAAUAAAGAAAGGAGGAGACUUUGCCUGGUCUAAUGGAGAAGCUGGAGCUGCAUUGUUGGGUACAGUGGCCAGUGGCUACACCUGGCUUUUGAGCCCUUGCACAGUGGCAAGGACACAUUGAGAUGUGCCCUAGGUGCAAGAUACACACAGGAUUUCAAAGACUGAGUAUGAAAAAAGAAGAAAAAAUGUCUCAUUAAUAUUUUUAUAUUGGUUGCAUGUGGAAGUGAUAACAUUUUGGAUAUAAAGUUGACCUUUGAACAGUAUGGGUUUGAACUGCACAGGUCUGCUUAUAAGUGAAAUUUCUUCUGCCUCUGCCACCCCUGAGACAGCAAGACCAACCCUCCACUUCCUCCUCCUCCUCCUCCUCCUCAACCUGCUCAACGUGAAGAUGAUGAAGAUCAAGACCUUCAUGAUGAUCUACUUCCACUUAAUGAAUAGUAAAUAUAUUUUCUCUUCCUUGUGAUUUUCUUAAUAACGUUUUCUUUCCUCUAGCUUAUUUUGUUGUAAGGAUACAGUGGUAUAUAAUAUUUAUAACAUACAAAAUAUGUGUUAACCAACUCUGCUAUCAGUAAGGCUUCUGAUCAACAGUAUGCUAACAUUUUUGGACAGUAGUUAAGUUUGGGCAGAGUCAAAAGUUAUAGGCAGAUUCUUGAUUGUGUGGGGUAUUGGCAUCCCUAAUCUCUGCACUGUUCAAGGGUAAACUGCAUUAGCUGAAAUAAAGCAUAUUCUUAAA